CAAAGCUUAAGUCCAAGUGGAUCAAGGACCUCCACAUCAAACCAGACACACUCAAACUAAUAGAAGAAAAACUAGGGAAGCAUCUGGAACACAUGGGCACUGGAAAAAAUUUCCUGAACAAAACACCAAUGGCUUAUGCUCUAAGAUCAAGAAUCGACAAAUGGGAUCUCAUAAAACUGCAAAGCUUCUGUAAGGCAAAGGACACUGUGGUUAGGACAAAACGGCAACCAACAGAUUGGGAAAAGAUCUGUUACCAAUCCUAUAACAGAUAGAGGCCUUAUAUCCAAAAUAU
rnacentral:lncRNA from 1 species